GAAAUAACGAGGGCCUAAUAAUGAUGCAUCAGAAAUCUCUUUAAAUGUAGUUUAGUUGCAUACAAGACGAUUAGAUUCAAUGCUGCAAAUGUUACACAAAACAAAAAAUACAUUAAAAAUUUUCCACAUCCCUAAUUAAUACCAACUCGUGCAUGGUCCAAACGACAAUGGGAUUCUAUCAUAUCAUUAUUGAUUAAAAGAGUACAACAAAUGAUCACAAUUUAUGUUCACGUCUACCUACUUCAAACAGGGACAGCAGGCUUCAGUGGAACAAGUGCUUUCUUAAUUCUCUCUACAGCUGCCUGUAGGGUUGUGAGAGAUGCUGCAUAAGAGAUGCGUAUGCAGGUGUCAUCUCCGAAGGCGCCCCCUGGGACCAGUGCAACCUGCAAAUCAAUGGCCAUAACCCUAUUAUGAAGUUCUUGAGUAAUAACUCAAAACUGCUUUAAGUGUUGUUUCUUGAACUCAACAGAAAAAUUGAAUUUCAUACAAAUCAAAAUAUUAUAUGUCAUAAUGUGCGGCUCUUCAAUUAUUUAUGCUCACCCAUGCCACGAAACAAACAGUGCAAAAACUUUCUCAGUUAUUGUUAUUGGGGAAAUAUUCACAUACAACACAUACCUGUGCCUUAUCUAGCAGGUAUCGGCAGAAAGAAUCAGAAUCCUCAAUUGCACCAAAAUCUUUAACUUCUAAUCCAUAGCAAUAGCUGAAAUCAAUGAAGAGAUAAAAUGCUCCCUGAGGUUUUGAUAUCCUAACACCUUCUAUUUCUUCAAAGCUUUUGAUCAAGAAAUCUCUCCGUUCCUGGAAUGCUUUAACCAUGGUAGAUACUGCUUCCCCACCAGCAUAGCCUAGUCCUAAUGCAGCAACUGCCGCUUUUUGAGCUAUACUGCUGGCACCUGAAGUGAACUGGCUCUGGAUCUUAUUACACGCUGCAACAAAGUGCUUAGGGCCAGCAAGAUAUCCAAGUCUCCAACCAGUCAUUGCAAAAGCCUUAGAAAAGCCAUUCACAGUCAAAGUCCUUUCCCACAUGCCUGGCAAAGAUGCAAAACUUGUGUGUGUUGCCGGCGCAUAUAUUAUAUGUUCAUAUAUUUCAUCAGAUAGCACCAGAAGCCUGGGAUGUUUUUCCACAAUCCUAGCAAUCUCUUCAAGUAAUCCUUUGUUAUAGACAGAUCCAGUUGGGUUAGAUGGGGAGCAAAGAAUUAAUAGUCUUGAUUUUUCACUGAGUUUGGAUUCAAGUAGCUUUGGAUCCAAGAGAAAAUUUUCAGAGAUAGAUGUUGGAAGAAUCACAGGUGUUGCAUCAGCCAGCCUUGCAAUUUCUGGGUAACUGACCCAGUAGGGUGCUGGAAUUAUAACCUCAUCUCCUGGAGAACAAACUGCAAGAACUGCUUGAAGAAUACUCUGCUUGGCUCCAUUGCUAACCAAAAUCUCAUUAGGUGCAUAUGAAAUGCCAUUCUCCUCCUUUAGUUUAUGACAAAUUGCUGUUCGAACUUCAAAUGUACCAGCAUUUGGAGUAUACCUUGUGUAACCUUCACGGAUUGCAUUUAUCCCAGCCUCUGCUAUUGGAGCUGGUGUAUCAAAAUCAGGUUCUCCAGCAGCCAAUCGAAUAACAGGAACUCCAGCUUCUAAAAGAGCAGUGGCAUGGUCCAUUAUGGCCACAGUCUUAGAAGGUUUUACAGAAUUCACUCUGGGGCUCAAAGAAAUAUCGAGUUCCAUCUCGUCAGUGCCACCUUCUGGCUUCACAACUGCACUUAUACUAGAUGACCGUACUUGUCUAGUGGCCUCCAGUGGUUUGAAGCAUCGUUGGCAAGGGCGAGAAGGGAAGGAUACGGAUCCGGAACUGUAAGAACCCAAAUCGAGUCCGAUAGAUUGAUUCCCCAAACGCAAACAAGAAAUGCCUGAUGGGGAAGUUUGGAGAGAAGCAGCAGCCAUAAGCUAAAAGAAAGAGCUUUUCGUGGGAGUUGCUCUAAUUUGGGUAGUUGGACAUAAAAGCCAGAAAGAAAUUUUUAUUGUCUGAUUUGUUUUGGUGUUAGUAGCCGUAUAAAAUUUAAAGGGCAGAGUGUUGUCGGGGUUGGUGGGAAAUAGAGAUGGGAAUGGUAGGUAGGUUGAGAUCUUACGAAACCUAGCUUAUAUAUCCAUUUGGGAGAUCAUGCAUCUGGGCCGUCCAUCUUAUCAGAAGAGGUGCGUCCAUGUCUUCGAGGAUAUUGAGAAGGAACUAAAUGGUUGUGAUUGAUCAUUGAUUGCAUUAUAAAACUAAGAAGUGAGUACCCGUUUACAGGGAGAUGAGGGGAAAGUUGCGG
rnacentral:misc_RNA from 1 species